CGCCACAUUGGGACUGAGACACGGCCCAAACUCCUUUGGAAGGCAGCAGUGGGGAAUUUUGGACAAUGGGGGCAACCCUGAUCCAGCCAUGCCGCGUGUAUGAAGACCGCCUUCGGGUUGUAAAGUACUUUUGUCGGGGAAGAAAAGGUUAGUGUUAAUACCACUGACUGAUGACGGUACCCGAAGAAUAAGCACCGGCUAACUACGUGCCAGCAGCCGCGGUAAUACGUAGGGUGCAAGCGUUAAUCGGAAUUACUGGGCGUAAAGCGGGCGCAGACGGUUACAUAAGUCAGGUGUGAAAUCCCCGAGCUCAACUUGGGAAUGGCGCUUGAAACUGUGUAGCUAGAGUGUGUCAGAGGGAGGUAGAAUUCCGCGUGUAGCAGUGAGAUGCGUAGAGAUGCGGAGGAAUACCGAUGGCGAAGGCAGCCUCCUGGGAUAACACUGACGUUCAUGCCCGAAAGCGUGGGUAGCAAACAGGAUUAGAUACCCUGGUGGUCCACGCCCUAAACGAUGACAAUUAGCUGUUGGUGUGCUUGCCACAUUAGUAUCGAAGCUAACGCGUGAAAU
rnacentral:rRNA from 1 species